rnacentral:rRNA from 1 species
CGCUGGCGGCAGGCCUAACACAUGCAAGUCGAGCGGCAGCACGGGUACUUGUACCUGGUGGCGAGCGGCGGACGGGUGAGUAAUGCCUAGGAAUCUGCCUGGUAGUGGGGGAUAACGCUCGGAAACGGACGCUAAUACCGCAUACGUCCUACGGGAGAAAGCAGGGGACCUUCGGGCCUUGCGCUAUCAGAUGAGCCUAGGUCGGAUUAGCUAGUUGGUGAGGUAAUGGCUCACCAAGGCGACGAUCCGUAACUGGUCUGAGAGGAUGAUCAGUCACACUGGAACUGAGACACGGUCCAGACUCCUACGGGAGGCAGCAGUGGGGAACAUUGGACAAUGGGCGAAAGCCUGAUCCAGCCAUGCCGCGUGUGUGUAGAAGGUCUUCGGAUUGUAAAGCACUUUAAGUUGGGAGGAAGGGCAUUAACCUAAUACGUUGGUGUCUUGACGUUACCGACAGAAUAAGCACCGGCUAACUCUGUGCCAGCAGCCGCGGUAAUACAGAGGGUGCAAGCGUUAAUCGGAAUUACUGGGCGUAAAGCGCGCGUAGGUGGUUUGUUAAGUUGGAUGUGAAAUCCCCGGGCUCAACCUGGGAACUGCAUUCAAAACUGACAAGCUAGGGUAUGGUAGAGGGUGGUGGAACUUCCUGUGUAGCGGUGAAAUGCGUAGAUAUAGGAAGGAACACCAGUGGCGAAGGCGACCACCUGGACUGAUACUGAC